rnacentral:pre_miRNA from 1 species
UUGUUCCGCUAGAUUUAGCGGGGAAAUUUUUCCGCUAGAUCUAGUGGGGAAAUUUUUCCGCUAGAUUUAGCGGGUAAA